rnacentral:rRNA from 1 species
GAUGAACGCUAGCUACAGGCUUAACACAUGCAAGUCGAGGGGAAACGAUAGAGAAAGCUUGCUUUUCUAGGCGUCGACCGGCGCACGGGUGAGUAACGCGUAUCCAACCUGCCCAUCACUUGGGGAUAACCUUGCGAAAGUAAGACUAAUACCCAAUGACGUCUCUAGAAGACAUCUGAAAGAGAUUAAAGAUUUAUCGGUGAUGGAUGGGGAUGCGUCUGAUUAGCUUGUUGGCGGGGUAACGGCCCACCAAGGCGACGAUCAGUAGGGGUUCUGAGAGGAAGGUCCCCCACAUUGGAACUGAGACACGGUCCAAAACUCCUACGGGAGGCAGCAGUGAGGAAUAUUGGUCAAUGGACGAGAGUCUGAACCAGCCAAGUAGCGUGCAGGAUGACGGCCCUAUGGGUUGUAAACUGCUUUUAUAAGGGAAUAAAGUGAGUCUCGUGAGACUUUUUGCAUGUACCUUAUGAAUAAGGACCGGCUAAUUCCGUGCCAGCAGCCG